rnacentral:rRNA from 1 species
CCCUACUCCUACGGGAGGCAGCAGUGGGGAAUAUUGCACAAUGGGCGCAAGCCUGAUGCAGCCAUGCCGCGUGUAUGAAGAAGGCCUUCGGGUUGUAAAGUACUUUCAGCGGGGAGGAAGGGAGUAAAGUUAAUACCUUUGCUCAUUGACGUUACCCGCAGAAGAAGCACCGGCUAACUCCGUGCCAGCAGCCGCGGUAAUACGGAGGGUGCAAGCGUUAAUCGGAAUUACUGGGCGUAAAGCGCACGCAGGCGGUUUGUUAAGUCAGAUGUGAAAUCCCCGGGCUCAACCUGGGAACUGCAUCUGAUACUGGCAAGCUUGAGUCUCGUAGAGGGGGGUAGAAUUCCAGGUGUAGCGGUGAAAUGCGUAGAGAUCUGGAGGAAUACCGGUGGCGAAGGCGGCCCCCUGGACGAAGACUGACGCUCAGGUGCGAAAGCGUGGGGAGCAAACAGGAUUAGAUACCCCGGUAGUCCGAA